AAGAUACAAUAAAGGUGAAAAUGACAAGAGAGAUGCAAAUGUGACGAUAGUAUAGCUUGCAAGUUGCAAGCAUUAUGGACACUGCUCCAUAAUUCAUAUAAACUAUCACCACAUUCAUAUAAACUAUCUUCAUCAUCUUUCGUUUAAAUUAAGAAUAAAAAACAGCAAACCAGUGACUGUUAUCACCAUAGAGAAUGAGGGAACCAUUCUAUUGCCGAAGAUGUUGUUUAUUUCUUGGUUAUCUACUUUGUGCUUUAUUUGGUCGGCGGUCAUCAUUUGUGAUAUUUUUCUUAUUUCAAUCGACUAUAAUUUCUUUGAUUAAUCAGUAUGAUAAGUUUACAAAGUUUUUAUCUUAUAAAUGCUACGGUGGUACUGUUUUAUUUUUAAUUAAUUUAAUUAAUGUAGCCAAAUAGAACUACAAAUUUAAUAUCUUAUCUAAAUCUAUCAUUAUAUGCAUGAUGUUGCAUAUAAUGGUCGCAGAGGAGGCUGAGAUCCCGAACUGCGACUAUAGGUAUAUACAGUGGCGACUCCAGGAUUGUUAAGGAGUCUGGGCAAAUUUUUGGAGAGAAUUUUAUCAACCCAAAUUUCGAAUAUAAAAAUAUUUAAACUCUGUUUUUCAAUAUUUAAUUUUGGAAGAAAUUUUUAAACAAGAAAUAACAUGCAAGAAUAUAGCCAUGUUUCCAAUAUAAUUAAGGCUCAACUAAAUAAGAGACUAUAAUGAAAACUGAAUCCACAUCGACGUAUAUAAUUAUAUUAAACUACUUAUUAAUUUAUACAAUAAAAACAGCUUAACAAAUUUUAAAAAUUCAAAACACCAUCAAGUCAUCAAACAAGGAUUAUAGAUGAGAAGGUUUUAAGUUGUUAAAAAUUAGAAUUAAUUGCAUAUUUGAUCUGUUAUGUUUAUUUUAGGUUUCAAUUUGCUCCCUUAUUUUUUAAAAGUUUCAAGUUGGUCAUUUUCCUCAAAUUUUAGUUUAAAUCGUCGACUUUUCUAAUGAAUUUGCGUACGUAGACCACUUAGGAGAGUACUAUGUGAAUGUUUUAGAAAAAUUAACUCAAAAUUUAACAAAAAGUUAGAAAAAAUUAACUCAAAAUUUAACGAAAACGACCAAUUUAUGUUGAGAUCAAUAACAUAAGGAACCAACUUGAAACUUUUAAAAAAUAAGGGACCAAAUUGAAACCUAAAAUAAACAUCGUACGGUACCUUUACGAAAUACGUUUCUUUUUUUUAUUUUUAUUUUUUCUUGUUUCUUAUUAUUACAAAAAAAAAGGGCAGCCCAGGCAUGUGCUGGGCAUGCCGGACGGCAUAAUCGCCAGUGGGUAUAUAAACUUUACUCUUAAUUUACUAUUUUGUUUACUUAAACUUUAUGUCUAGCCUAUUAAGUGUUUAGUAUAUUAAUGUUCAGUGACAAUAAUGCUGUUUGGUGAUCGACUGGAUAGGCAUAGCACAAAACUUCACUCCAAACAUUUAAGGAGAGCUUAUGCUUCCUCGUUGUUGCACGGCCUUCAUAAUGAAAUGAGGUUACAAGUUGAUGAAGAAACAAUCAAGUUUUGGGAAAAUGCUUAACACCACCUGAGUUGGAAUUAUGCAAAUCUGUCUUUAGCUAUGAAAUUUGUGCCUUAUUUGUUGGGUUGGGUUUGGAACCAUCUUAAUUUUGUCUUGUUAUAAUUAAUUGUAACCCUAUUUUUUUUUUAUAAAAAAUUGUAACCCUAUUUGAUAAAUAUUUGUAUGCAUAUUUUGUGAAAACUUGAAUUUAUUUCCCUCAUGUACUCUG